rnacentral:rRNA from 1 species
GAUGAACGCUGGCGGCGUGCCUAAUACAUGCAAGUCGAGCGAACGGACGAGAAGCUUGCUUCUCUGAUGUUAGCGGCGGACGGGUGAGUAACACGUGGAUAACCUACCUAUAAGACUGGGAUAACUUCGGGAAACCGUAGCUAAUACCGGAUAAUAUUUUGAACCGCAUGGUUCAAAAGUGAAAGACGGUCUUGCUGUCACUUAUAGAUGGAUCCGCGCUGCAUUAGCUAGUUGGUAAGGUAACGGCUUACCAAGGCAACGAUGCAUAGCCGACCUGAGAGGGUGAUCGGCCACACUGGAACGGAGACACGGUCCAGACUCCUACGGGAGGCAGCAGUAGGGAAUGUGCCGCAAUGGGCGAAAGCCUGACGGAGCAACGCCGAGUGAGUGAUGAAGGUCUUCGGAGCGUAAAACUCUGUUAUUAGGGAAGAACAUAUGUGUAAGUAACUGUGCACAUCUUGACGGUACCUAAUCAGAAAGCCACGGCUAACUACGUG